UUGUGAUUCGGAAUUAUUGGAGUGUUUGCAGGCUUCCAGUUUAGCAAUCUAACCUCUGCCAAUAGGUCUAAAAUAUAUUUUCUCUGGGAUAGGAAUAUACCCUGUUUUGAUCUGCAACUUCAAUUCCCAGAAAAUAUUUGAGUCCUCCUAGACUUUUCAUUUCAAACUCAGAUGCCAACUACUUUUGAAGCCUUUCUAUCUCAUCUGAAUCGUCUCCUGUGAUGAUCAUAUCAUCUACAUAGACUAUUAGGGCAAUCAAUUUGCCGUGUCUAUGUUUAAGGAACAAAGUAUGAUAAGAGUUACUUUGUUAGAACCCAUACUUCCUCAUUGCUGUACUGAACCUCCCAAACCAAGCUCGAGGCGAUUGUUUCAAGCUGUAUAGAGUUCUUUGCAACUUACAAAUAAUAUUGCCUUCUAUGUUGGCUCCAUACCCUGGGGGAAUGUUCAUAUAUAUCUCUUCUUCUAAAUCACCAUGCAAAAAUGUAUUCUUCACAUCGAACUGAUGAAAGGGCCAGUCAUGAUUUGUUGCAAGUGACAACAGUACUCUCACUAUAUUUAGCUUGGUUACUGGUGAGAAAGUCUCCUGAUAGUCAAUUCCAUAUGUCUGUGUGAAUCCCUUUGCCACAAGUCUAGCUUUGUAAUGGUCAACUGUUCCAUCUGCCUUGUAUUUGAUUGAAAACACCCACUUGCACCCCACAGUUUUAUGUCCUUUAGGUAGCGUGUCAGGACCUAAGUCUCAUUUUUUACCAGUGCCUCCAUCUCUUCCUUCAUAACUUGGACCCACCUUGGGUCUUUCAUUGCUUCUUCAACACUUGUAAGAACUGGAUGCGAGGAAACUUCAUCCGCAAAAGACUUAAGGGUUUUGGGAAGUCCCUUUGUGGAUACAUAGUUGGCAAUUGGGUAUUUAACCCUUUGGUCUUCCAUGUCGGGAGUAUAUCUGUUCGGUGGCUUUCCUCGAUUGUGCCUGUAUGGUAACUUAUAACCAACUAAAGUAUCAUUAGCUAACAGAGGUGUACUUGGAGAGUUUGGGGAGCUUACCAUAAGAGUAUUCUCAGGAGAUGGGUCUGUGGAUACUAUGGAGUGAGGAGGGGGUACUACUGCUUCAGAGUUUUGCUUCUACUUACUAUUUUCUGAUUGUGGAAUACUAGAUUCUGUAUCAUCGGUAGGUUCUAAAUAAUGAGCUCAUUGACAGUAGUUUCUGUAUUAAUUGCAACGGGUUCAUUAAAUCCAAGCCAUUCAUACUGCAGCCAAUUUGACUCUUCACCUCGAGACUCCCCCUGAAGAGUAUAAGUAGAUAGGGAAGAGUAAAAAUAUUCUGAUUCCAAGAAAGUGACAUCCAUUGUCACAUAGGUACGAUGGUUAGUUGGAUCAUAACAUCGAUAUCCUUUUUGAUUCAAGCCAUAUCCCAAAAACACACAUUAAACUGCACAAGGAUCAAGUUUGGUGCACUAAUUUCUGUGCAAAUGAACAAUGGUUACACAACCAAACACUUGAGGCGGAAGCAUCAGGGUUGUAGGUAGAGAAAUGACAACAGAUAGAGCCUCGAGAGGAGUUCGAAACUUAAGAGCCUUAGAAGGCAUCCGAUUAAUAAGAUAUACCGCUGUAGUGACAGCAUCAGUCCAAAAGUG
rnacentral:lncRNA from 1 species